rnacentral:rRNA from 1 species
CACGUAGUCCCAUGCCCAAGGGACGUGGAUAACCUCGGGAAACUGACGAUAAACCACGAUAGGCCAAGGUUUCUGGAAUGAGCCAUGGCCGAAAUCUAUAUGGCCUUUGGAUUGGACUGCGGCCGAUCAGGCUGUUGGUGAGGUAGUGGCCCACCAAACCUGUAACCGGUACUGGCUUUGAGAGAAGGAGCCCGGAGAUGGGCACUGAGACAACGGCCCCGGCCCUAUGGGGCGCAGCAGGAACCAAACCUCUGCAAUAAGCGAAAGCUUGACUGGGUUACUCUGAGUGAUGCCCGCGAAGGGUAUCUUUUGGCACCUCUAAGAAUGGAGCAAAAGAAGGGGUGGGCAAGUCUGGUGUCACCCGCCGCGGUAAUACCCCCACCCCGAGUUGUCGGGACUAUUAUUGGGCCUAAAGCGUCCCUAGCCUGUUCUGCCAGUCCUCCAUUAAAUCCACCUGCUCAACGGAUGGGCUGCGGAGGAUACCGCAGAGCUAGGAGGCGGGAGAGGCAAACGGUACUCAGUGGGUAGGAGUAAAAUCCAUUGAUCUACUGAAGACCACCAGUGGCGAAUGCGGUUUGACACAACGCGCUCGACGGUGAGGGAUGAAAGCUGGGGGAGCAAACCAGAUUACAUACCCGGGUAGUCCCAGCUGUAAACGAUGCAGACUCGGUGAUGGGUUGGCUUCAAGCCA